CUUCCUUUGCAGGUUGGGAUCAGUAGCAAUGUUCUUUUCUGCUGGAGUAUUGCACUUGUCCCGGCCUGUUAAGGGCAA
rnacentral:pre_miRNA from 1 species